GCCCUUCGUGGGUCGCUCCCGCUGGCCCCAAACACCCACGUGGUCGAAGCCCGGCCCUGCCGGCUGGAGGAUCCGGUUAGGGUACGUGUUUUGGCUUGCAGGGUUUUUAAUUGUCGCCGAGCGGGACUUACUGCGAGCUAUCAAGUCCGGGGUCGUACUUUGUUGAGUCGAAAGUGAAUUUUCCUUCGGCCGACUUGACGGCUGUUACACUUUCCAGGAUUACUGUAUCUCUUAGAUCACUCAGCCUGAGGUGAUCUUAGCUGUCAUCAUAGCUUCUGGAGCAUUCGAAUGGAAUCCAUUAGAAUUUACAAACCAUUAUUUAGGCUAAGAAACAGUGAAGCACAGAAAAGUUAAGCAUCCUGCCUCAGGUGAUAUACCUAAUAAGUGAUGAGAUGAAGCCGGGUUGCAGAUCCAGACAGCGUGGCUCCAGAACCCAGAACCACACUGCUGGCAGCAUAAUCCUUACCAACUGAACUCGUAGCAGGUCCAAGCUAUUUGUUAUGCAUGUCUCAAAAGGUUAAAUGUUAUAUAAGUCUUGACAGGUUAAAAUUGUGAUGAAUAAAGACACUUUACAAGAAAAAGGAGUAACCCAUAAGGAUUUGGAUUUGACUCCCUUCCAAUGCCCAGUCUUCAUAUUUUGGGGUCCUACAUAAACCUUACUUAUAUGGGGUGUGUGGCCCUUAAACAUGCAUGUAAAGUCAUCCCUUACACACCUACUUCAUCAGCAAAUUGGUGGUGAUGGAGUUGGUUGAUCCUUUAAGAUCCAGUAAGGUUGAAAAUGGUCAAAUGAGAGGGUGUAGAGGAAAAGCAUUGUAAACUAAAAUGUCAAACAAGUGUUUUAUGCUUAAAUCUAUAAUAGAGAUCAGAAAUCAGUUAAUAUACAUCUAGUAAUUUUACUCUUUUUUAAAAUGCCCCUGCUAAUGGUGAUCAGAUCUGAUUCUUAAGAUAAAAAUUUAUUGGUCACCCCAUGAUAACGUCUGGCAGCAUCUUUUCUUCAUCAACAUCAGUUGUUAAAUCAGAUUUUUAUCUGAUUUGUCUGGUUUCUCCUUUAUUCAUUUCAUUUCUUUUGUUUUAGCAUUUAUAUCUUCUGAUGGCUUGAUUUGGUGCUUCUAGUCAGAUGAUAUAAAUGUUUAUUUAUAUGUUAUCAGAGAGAAAGGAAACAGAAGUGAGAGAACGAAAGGCUAAAACCUUCCCUUCCCUCAGGCACUAAGGCAAUCCUUUAAUUGUUUAAUAAAUUUUUUUAUUGUGAAAGUAACACAUGACGAUGGAAAAGUAGGUACAGAAAAACACCAAGCCAACCAAAAAGAUGAAACAUGUUCCUACUUAACAGAA